UCAAAAACUUGGAAACUGGAUGCGGGGGAAGGAUCAGGAGCCUGGGCUCAGGCCCCACCCGGGCUGCGACACCUGGGCUGGGGCAGGUCCUCCUAGAAGUCUCAGGACCCAUCAGGAAAGGCUCUCUGCCCUGGUUUCAGUAAACCAGGGUUAACCUCUACACCAACAUGCCAACACUAUAAACGUGAUCCGGCAUUUCAGCAGACAAGUCCCGCAAAGAGGCAAACCAGAACAGAGAUAUGAACCAGAACCGUCUCCAUCGGGGCCUAAACUGGGACCAGGUCUCCUGCUGCCCUGGGUCCUUCAUCCUCUCACGGUGGCUCCUCUGGAGCUGGUUAACCAAGAAGUCAAAUUAUUAAGCCAGAGUGUGUGAGUCAGCUUUGAAACAAGUCUGCGGCUGUGAAGAAAGCAAGCCCCCCGUUCAUGGACAUCAGUCUGGCGGAGCAAUGCAGAGAUCUGCCUGCUGCUGGGCUUGUUCCGAACCAGCUGACAGGGCUGGGCUCUCUGCCUCAGGCCAGCAAUCAGCAGCGACGGGGCCCCCAGCAGCCGCCCCAGGGACAGCCGUGGCCACUAACUCCCUCUUUGAGGAUGUCUCCCAAGCCUUAUCAGGUGACCGGUCACUCCUCUGUUCAAAACCUUAGGACUGUGUCCCACGGACAGAAGGAAAGCUCCAAUUCUGCCGCACCCCCCACCCCAAGGAGCCCUCCAACUCCACCACCUUCCAGGCCAUGGUCCUCCACCCCAAAUGACACCCAGCCUGCCCCUGCCCAUGGGAGCAAGGCUCGGGGGCGACCCUGCCCUGCACCUUUUCAUGAUAGGAACUCCCCCAAGUCAAGAACUACGGGGCUUCAUCACGUCUCAACCCGGUGUCCUACACGUAGAGGCACUCAAAUGUGUUGAGCUCCAAUUCCAGCGAACUAUUAAAGAGUCCACAUCAAGGUUCGCAGUUGCUGGGCUGGGAACUCUCUCCAGGCACCCAGCUGUCCCAAGGGCCCAUGGGACUGGAGAACAUCUUUCAGUCUGCGGCUGUGGCCUAAUGCUUUCCGGCGGCCUGACACUGCCUGUGUGAUCUCAGAAAAAGAUCCUACAUCCACGGCAACUUCCAGAAAUCUUCAUCCACAGGCUCAUCAGCUCGCCCUCCAAGCCCACCUUCACUCCCAGCUGACAAACCAGUGAUCCUAACGAGUAAGUAGCUCCCCGGGACUCCCAGCAUCCAGCCUGAGGAUUCUCGAGGGAACAGAAAUGAGUCUAAUUGCCUGGAUGAGUCUAUUGCUCUCCCUGAUGAGCUUAAGUACCAAGCAGUAAACACAGUCUGGGAAGUUUAAACCUUGGUGAACUGAAUUCUAUUUGCUGAAAGUCAAGCUCUCACCUUUGAAUGAUCGUUUAAUACCACCUCAGAUGGCAGCCCCCACAUCCUGGACUGAAAAAAAUCUCUUGAAAAAAAGGAGAAAGAAUAAUUCUGUUCAGUACAGCACCAAUGUCAAGUUCGUUCUGCCAGACAUGCCUCCUCUGCACCCUGGUUUUUCUAAAGGGUUAGCAGAGUUUCUGUCCAGGACAGAACUUCUCACAUCACAACCCGGCUUUAAAGUACUCCCUGGAACACGACUGCUUCCACAACCGGCCGUCUAUUCUGCCAGAGACACCUCUCGACACCCCUUCCACCCAGUCUCGACACAGCACCCCGACCCUGCUCUCUGGUCUCGUCCCAGCGCCUGUCCAUCCCACCCCCCAGGAAGCCCUGUGCUGUCGUUCCCCAGGGCUUCCACUCACACUCCUCUCAGCCUAGACGUUCGUCUUCCUUUCCCUACGUGCUUCCCCACGUGGCCAGCCAUUCACCUCUGAGGACGCCAUCACUUCCUCUUUUCCCGACCGCUCCCCACUGCCUGUUCUGGUAUCUCUGCCGGCUGUGACCCACUGCUGCGUUUCAGGGCUGGACCACGUCUUACGCAUCCUCGCCUCCCAGGAGCCUACUGCCCGGGGGACGUGUUGAGCAGCAUUCCGAUGCAGGACGCUGAUUCCAACCCCAAGGAAGAGACAGCAUGGGAUGCUUGCUGAUCUUCAACCCAGACUUCUUGCCCUGCUCUUUCACGGGAACUGUCAAACUGCCACCAGCAAAAUAGCAACGGUAAGAAUCAUGGUGGGAGUAAGGGGAAGCUAGGUCGGUUAUAGUCAAGCUGGCAGCACAGGAGGCUGAAAUUCUCUAUUUGUUACUAAAUUUCAAAACAACCCUUCUCCAACAGACCCACCGGAAACAGGAAACAGGCCAUGAAGCCCUCAUCGCAAUUUAAGACUUGCUGGUUCCACAACUUGCUUGAGUGGGCCCCCAUAAAAGGGGUCUCCCGGGCUCCAAGUGCUCUGGGACAGCCACUCCCCACCAGCUGAUUUGUCAACCAGCAGCAUCUCUGCAACCCAUACCUGGAGCUCAGUGGUAAAGAAUCCGCCUGCAAUGCAGGAAGACCCGGGUUCGAUCCCU